GAGUUUGAUCCUGGCUCAGAACGAACGCUGGCGGCGUGGAUAAGACAUGCAAGUCGAACGGAGAUUCUUUGGAGCUUGCUUUAAAGGGUCUUAGUGGCGAACGGGUGAGUAACACGUGAGUUACCUGCCCCGAAGUGGGAGAUAGCCCGGAGAAAUUCGGAUUAAUACCCCAUGUGAUCGUAAGAUUAAAGGCGGCGCAAGCUGUCGCUUCGGGAUGGGCUCGCGGCCUAUCAGCUAGUUGGCGGGGUAACGGCCCACCAAGGCGAUGACGGGUAGCUGAUCUGAGAGGAUGAUCAGUCACACUGGAACUGAGACAC
rnacentral:rRNA from 1 species